rnacentral:rRNA from 1 species
UACGAAGGGGGCUAGCGUUGUCGCGAAUCACUGGGCGUAAAGGGCGCGUAGGCGGCCAUUCAAGUCGGGGGUGAAAGCCUGUGGCUCAACCACAGAAUUGCCUUCGAUACUGUUUGGCUUGAGUAUGGUAGAGGUUGGUGGAACUGCGAGUGUAGAGGUGAAAUUCGUAGAUAUUCGCAAGAACACCGGUGGCGAAGGCGGCCAACUGGACCAUUACUGACGCUGAGGCGCGAAAGCGUGGGGAGCAAACAGG